AUUGAACGCUGGCGGCAGGCCUAACACAUGCAAGUCGAGCGGAGCGGCGGACGGGUGAGUAUUGCUAAGGUAUGUGACAGGUCGUGGGGGAUAACGUCCGGUAACGGGCGCUAAUACUGCAUACUAUUAGCUGCGCCUAGGCCGGAUUAGCUAGUGGGUGGGGUAAAGGCCUACCAAGGCGACGAUCCGUAACUGGUCUGAGAGGAUGAUCAGUCACACUGGAACUGAGACACGGUCCAGACUCCUACGGGAGGCAGCAGUGGGGAAUAUUGGACAAUGGGCGAAAGCCUGAUCCAGCCAUGCCGCGUGUGUGAAGAAGGUCUUCGGAUUGUAAAGCACUUUAAGGUGGGAGGCGUUACCAGCAGAAGAAGCACCGGCUAACUGCGUGCCAGCAGCCGCGGUAAUUC
rnacentral:rRNA from 1 species